rnacentral:rRNA from 1 species
UACAGAGGGUGCGAGCGUUGUCCGGAAUCACUGGGCGUAAAGGGCGCGUAGGUGGCGCGACAAGUCAAUGGUGAAAGUUCGACGCUCAACGUCGAAUCGGCCAUCGAUACUGUUGGGCUUGAGCACUGUAGAGGCUAAUGGAAUUCCGGGUGUAGCGGUGGAAUGCGUAGAGAUGUGGAGGAAUACCGAUGGCGAAGGCAGCCCCCUGGGAUAACACUGACGCUCAUGCACGAAAGCGUGGGGAGCAAACAGG